rnacentral:rRNA from 1 species
GAUGAACGCUAGCGGCAGGCCUAAUACAUGCAAGUCGAACGGUGUAGCAAUACACAGUGGCGCACGGGUGCGUAACACGUAUGCAACCUACCUUGUACAGGGGAAUAGCCCAGAGAAAUUUGGAUUAAUGCCCCAUAGUAUAUAACCUUCGCAUGUUGGUUAUAUUAAAGUUCCAACGGUACAAGAUGAGCAUGCGUCCCAUUAGUUAGUUGGUAAGGUAACGGCUUACCAAGACGAUGAUGGGUAGGGGUCCUGAGAGGGAGAUCCCCCACACUGGUACUGAGACACGGACCAGACUCCUACGGGAGGCAGCAGUGAGGAAUAUUGGUCAAUGGGCGCAAGCCUGAACCAGCCAUGCCGCGUGCAGGAAGACGGUCCUAUGGAUUGUAAACUGCUUUUAUACAGGAAGAAACAACUCUACGUGUAGAGACUUGACGGUACUGUAGGAAUAAGGAUCGGCUAACUCCGUGCCAGCCGCCGCGGUAACAC